AAGUUACUCAAUGCAUAGAGCGGAUGCCCUGGCACUUAACUUCGAUGAAGGACGUGGCUAACUGCGAUAAGUUUCGGCGAGCUGUCAGCAAGCUAUGACCCGGAAAUUUCCGAAUGGGGAAACCCAAUUCGAUUUAUAUCGAAUUACUCCGCAAGGAGAGAGUUACUCGGCGAAUUGAAACAUCUUAGUAACCGAGGAAAAGAAAUCAUUAUGAGAUUCCCUUAGUAGUGGCGAGCGAAGAGGGAAAAGCCCAAACCAUUUUGUUUCGACGAGAUGGGGUUGUAGGACUUCGAUGUGAUCUAUAUUUUCUUAAUCAAAGGUCUUUGGAAAAAGCCACCAUAGAGGGUGAUAGUCCCGUAGGUGAAAAGAAAAUAAAAAUCUAGAAGUAUCCUGAGUAGGAUCGGACACGUGAAAUCCGGUUUGAAUCUGGGAGGACCACCUUCCAAGGCUAAAUAGGUUAAGUGACCGAUAGUGAACUAGUACCGCGAGGGAAAGGUGAAAAGACCCCCUGUGAGGGGUGUGAAAUAGAACCUGAAACUUUAUGCAUACAUAGACCAGGAGUCCCGCAAGGGAUGACUGGGUGCUUAUUGGAGAACGAACCAACGAGUUAGCUGUGUGGCGCUAGGUUAAGGGAGUAAUACCCGAAGCCGUAGUGAAAGCGAGGACGAAUAGUCCGUUUAGUGUCACAUACUAGACCCGAAGCCGGAUGAGCUACCCUUGGGCAGGUUGAACUCUAGGGAAACCUAGAGGGAGGACCGAACACACCAGUGUUGCAAGACUGGGUGAUGACCUGAGGGUAGGCUAGAGAAAUUCUUAUCGAAUUCGGCGAUAGCUGGUUCUCCUCGAAAUAGUCUUUGGGCUAGCCUUGGUUUCGAAACUAAGGGGGGUAGAGCUCUGUUUAGACUAGGGAGCGAAAUAAGCUUACCAAAUCUAGACAAACUUCGAAUACCCUUGGUGAAUUACCAGGAGUCGGACGAUGAUAGUCAAGUACCGUCGUCAAAAGGGGAACAGCCCGCACCAUCAUCUAAGGUCCCUAAUGAGAUUUAAGUGUUGAAGGAUGUGAGAUUACUUACACAACCAGGAGGUUUGCUUAGAAGCAGCCACCCUUUAAANNAGAGUGCGUAACAGCUCACUGGUCUACGUGAUUUCGCGCCGAAGAUAUAUCGGGGCUAAAAUCUCAACCGAAGAUAUGGACUUUACUUUUUAGUAAAGUGGUAGAGGAGCAUUCCUGUCAGCAACGAAGCAUAACUGUGAGGUUGUGUGGAGCGUCAGGAAGAGAGAAUGUUGGUAUGAGUAACGUUAGCCGGAUGAAAAAUCCGGCCGCCGAUUGCCCAAGGUUUCCCAAGCAACGAUAAUCGGCUUGGGGUUAGUCGAUCCUAAGGUUUAGCCGAAAGGCAAAGCUGACUGGAUAACGGGUUAAUAUUCCCGUACAACUUUGGAAUCGCCAGAGCAAAACUAGAAGGGAGCAGAAGUUGGUUAUUUCGACUUCGGUUGAAAUAAUUGACACCUGCGAACGGAAGGUCGCGCUAGAUUGGGAGUGACGCAGAUGGAUAACGUGAGCGUAUUAAUGAAUUUACGUGUAAACCAUAAAUUUAUGCUCUUAUAGGCAAAUCCGUAAGAGUUAGUGAGUGGUGACGCCGAAUACCCUACGCAAGUAGGACGAGUCGUGUGAGUUCAUCUGCCAAGAAAAACUUCAAAAUCGAGAUUCCAAAGUUAUCGUACCGUAAACCGACUAAGGUGGGCUAGGAGAGGAUCCUAAGGCGAUCGAGUAAUGCUUCCCCAAGGAACUCGGCAAAACAGCAGGCGUAACUUCGGGAUAAGCCUUGCCUUAUGGAUUAUUCAGCAAUGUUUAGUCUGUGAGGCCACAGUUAAAGACAUCGGGCGACUGUUUAUCAAAAACAC
rnacentral:rRNA from 1 species